GACGAACCGUGCGAACGUUGUUCGGAAUCACUGGGCUUAAAGGGCGCGUAGGCGGGUCAUCAAGUCCGGGGUGAAAGCCCCCAGCUUAACUGGGGAAGGGCCUUGGAUACUGAUGGUCUUGAGGGGGGUAGGGGCAGUGGGAACUUCCGGUGGAGCGGUGAAAUGCGUUGAUAUCGGAAGGAACGCCGGUGGCGAAAGCGCACUGCUGGACCUUUUCUGACGCUGAGGCGCGAAAGCCAGGGGAGCAAACGGG
rnacentral:rRNA from 1 species